GUGCCAGCCGCCGCGGUAAUACCGGCAGCCCAAGUGAUGGCCGCUGUUAUUGGGCCUAAAGCGUCCGUAGCUGGGUCUGAAAGUCCAUCGGGAAAUCCACUCGCUCAACGAGUGGUCGUCCGGUGGAAACUCCACACCUUGGGACCGGAAGGCUCGAAGGGUACGGCCGGGGUAGGAGUGAAAUCCUGUAAUCCCGUCCGGACCACCGAUGGCGAAAGCACUUCGAGAAAACGGAUCCGACAGUGAGGGACAAAAGCUAAGAUCGCGAACCGGAUUAGAAACCCUAGUAGUCC
rnacentral:rRNA from 1 species